rnacentral:rRNA from 1 species
GGGCCCGCACAAGCCGGUGGAGCAUGUGGUUUAAUUCGAUGCAACGCGAAGAACCUUACCUACUCUGACAUCCCAGAGAACUUUCCAGAGAUGGAUUGGUGCCUUCGGGAACUCUGAGACCAGGUGCUGCAUGGCUGUCGUCAGCUCGUGCUUGUGAAAUGUUGGGUUAAGUCCCGCAACGAGCGCAACCCUUAUCCUUUGUUGCCAGCGGUUAGGCCGGGAACUCAAAGGAGACUGCCAGUGAUAAACUGGAGGAAGGUGGGGAUGACGUCAAGUCAUCAUGGCCCUUACGAGUAGGGCUACACACGUGCUACAAUGGCGCAUACAAAGAGAAGCGACCUCGCGAGAGCAAGCGGACCUCAUAAAGUGCGUCGUAGUCCGGAUUGGAGUCUGCAACUCGACUCCAUGAAGUCGGAAUCGCUAGUAAUCGUAGAUCAGAAUGCUACGGUGAAUACGUUCCCGGGCCUUGUACACACCGCCCGUCACACCAUGGGAGUGGGUUGCAAAAGAAGUAGGUAGCUUAACCUUCGGGA